AGGACGAACGCUGGCGGCGUGCUUAACACAUGCAAGUCGAGGGGGCAGUUGGGGCAACCUGGCUGUCACCGGCGAACGGGUGCGUAACACGUGAGCGACCUACCUCUUGGCGGGGGAUAGCCGGCCCAACGGCCGGGUAAUACCGCAUACGCUCCCUUUUGGGCAUCUGGAGGGGAGGAAACUUUCGAGGCAGAGAGAGGGGCUCGCGGCCUAGUCAGCUAGUUGGCGGGUAACGGCCCACCAAGGCAUCGACGGGU
rnacentral:rRNA from 1 species